UUGGCACUUUCGGUUUAGAUCUUCGGCGCUGGUUCGAGAGUACUGUGAAUGGCGUCAAACUCAUGGCACCAUCACAUAAGGCCUCUCUCCGGCACGCUUCUCCUAGCGUUCCCUCUUCUUCUUAUCGCUUUGUUCUUCGCCGCCCGCUCCUCCCCCUUUUCCACACUUUCACUUUCCCGCAAUCCCUCGUCUUUACCCGCCUCGCGCCGGGGAUCGGUCAUCUGGAGCGCCAACCGACUCUUUGAAUGGCGGCCAUGUGGCUGGUGGACUGACAAAGCCAUCACCGAAGUUUCCAUUCCUUUUUUGUUGAAAUGAUGCAGCUCUUCCUGCUAGAAGCAACGGUUACGUGAGAAUUGACUGCUAUGGCGGCCUUAAUCAGAUGAGACGCGAUGGCAAUUUCAGUUGUGUGAUGGCGUUGGGAUUGCUCGCCUGCUGAACGCGACUUUGGUUCUGCCCAAGUUUGAGGUCGCAGCUUAUUGGAAUGAAUCAAGUGGCUUUGAGGACAUUUUUGAUGUAGACUACUUCAUCCAGCAAACCAAGGGAUUUGUGGAAGUUGUGAAGGAGUUGCCCAAUGAUCUUGCAUCAAAGGAACCGUUCAAAGUGGACUGCAGCAAACGGAAAGGGAAUUUCGACUAUGUUGAAGCAGUUCUUCCUACACUCAAGAAACAUCACUAUAUAUCGAUUACACCAGCAAUGAGCCAAAGAAGAGAUAGGUACCUUUUUUUUCUUCUUAAAAUGUACACAAAACAUCCUUUUUGAUGCUUUUAACAAUUGCAAGCAUAAUCUAUGAUGGCAUCCUUUAGCUUAUUCUGGAAUUACAUAUUACAAGGAGGGUGAUGCAAACGUUAUAGGUCUUUAAUCUAAUACAUCUAAAUAUUUACUUAUUUAAUCUGAUGAAAAUUGUAGAAAUUACUUGGUGAGUUGUAAGUUAAGUACUAUAACAAAAACACUACUGGACACUCAGCCUUGAUAAGCAUUGUAACUGAGAAAUGUAACCAAAUUAAGGAUCCUAUUGUCCACAAAUUCAGUUGGAGCCUCCGUCAAAUAAAGUAACAUAUUUUGCAUCAUGACCCCAAUAGUUUAUUAAUGCUAUUGGUGGUAUCACAGUAAGUACUUCUAACUUAACCUUUAGAUUUUCUAGAAAAGCAACAUUCCCAUUUCCAUAUCUUAUCCAGUUCCAUAUCCAUCCAUAAAUGAUCGAACUAGAUAAUUAUUUAUAUAAGAGUUUCUUAGCAUUACCCUUAGUAACAGGAGCAAGUGUAUGUGAUAAAAGGAAAUAAGUUGAUAAAAAAAUCUUCCUUGCUUUAAUUUUCAAUAGCAAAUUAUUUAUUACGCAUAAGAGAGAAAAGUGAUAGAUAAAAAGUCUAAUAUUGCAAGUCAAGUGAGAAACACAGGCCAAAAUUUAUGGAAUUUUAUAAGGAUGAGCAAAGACUUAAUUUUUAACCAAUUUCUUUUAGACACAAUAUAAUUUUUGUAAUUCAUAAUAAAUACAAGUAUUUCUAAAGCAUUUACCUUUACACAAAAAAAAGAUAAAACAGUGCAUAUUAAAAGGAAAAAAAAU